ACGGCCAUACCACAUUCAAAACACCGGUUCUCGUCCGAUCACCGAAGUUAAGCAAUGUCGGGCCCGGUCAGUACUUGGGAGGGUGACCACCUGGGAACACCGGGUGCUGUAGGCU
rnacentral:rRNA from 1 species